UUCUGGUCAAAAUCAGGCACGCUUAGGCUUAACGUGCAUAAUAUUGGUCUGCCCAGCUGUGGGGAGUUACAGAGGGCCUGGAGGGAGGAAAUGAAAAGACACAUCAGCAGAGACAGAGAUGGCUGGUGGAGACAUCUGGGAUCCUUGGGGAGAGGGACUGGGAAUGCUGCCAGCACUUCAGCCUGCCUAACUGAAAUCUUCCCAGGAUGCUGGCAGAGGUAGAUGGAGGGGCUGGAAGCCCCUGUGGAGCUGUCUCUGACACAGACCCAGGCCACACUCUGGUGGCUGCUGGAUUUGUUUUCGGCAGGCGAAAAUAACAGGGACCCCCAGCCGUGGGGCGGGCCCGUGCGGGAUCUCCCAACAGCCGUCCCGGAGAAACCGAAACUGCCUGGAUUUGAGGAACCCGAAACUCUGGUGCCGCUUCUCGCCCUUCUCCCGAACGUCUGCUCGCGGUGGGACGUGGAGCUUCAGAUCAGCUUGGGCGAUCGGGGCUCGGCGGCAUCCCGUCAGUGUA
rnacentral:lncRNA from 1 species